rnacentral:rRNA from 1 species
GACGAACGCUGGCGGCGUGCUUAACACAUGCAAGUCGAACGGUAAGGCCCUUCGGGGUACACGAGUGGCGAACGGGUGAGUAACACGUGGGUGAUCUGCCCUGCACUUCGGGAUAAGCCUGGGAAACUGGGUCUAAUACCGGAUAGGACCACUGCCUGCAUGGGCGGUGGUGGACAGCUUGUGCGGUGUGGGAUGGGGCCGCGGCCUAUCAGCUUGUUGGUGGGGUGGGGGCCUACCAAGGCGACGAGGGGUAGCCGGCCUGAGAGGGUGACCGGCCACACGGGGACUGGGGUACGGCCCAGACUCCUACGGGAGGCAGCAGGGGGGAAUAGUGCACAAUGGGCGGAAGCCUGAUGCGGCGGCGCCGCGUGGGGGAUGACGGCGUUCGGGUUGUAGACCUCUUUCAGCACCGACGAAGCGCAAGUGGGGGUAGGUGCAGAAGAAGGACGGGCCAACUACGUGCCAGCAGCCGCCGUAA